rnacentral:rRNA from 1 species
AACGAACGCUGGCGGCAUGCCUAACACAUGCAAGUCGAACGAGACCAUCGGGUCUAGUGGCGCACGGGUGCGUAACGCGUGGGAACCUGCCCUUAGGUUCGGAAUAACUCUCCGUAAGGGGUGCUAACACCGGGUAAUGUCCUCUGAUAAAAGAUAUAACGCGCUUGUGGGGGCCCGCGUUGGUUGAGCUUGUUGGUAGGGUAAAAGCCUAUCAAGGCGACGCUCCAUAGCGGGUCAGAGAGGCAGAUCAGCGACACUGGGAGUGAGACACGGGGCAGACUCCUGCGCGAGGCAGGAGUGGCUGAUAUAGGACAAUGGGCUAAAUCCAGAUGCAGCAAUGCCGCGUAAGUGAUGAAGGUCUUAGAGUUGUACAGCUCUUUUACCCGGGAUGAUAAUGACGGUACCGGAAGAAUAAGCACCGGCUAACUCCGUG